UGGCCGUAAACGAUGUGGACUUGGUGUUGGAAUGGCUCCGAGCUGCUCCAGUGCCGAAGGGAAGCUGUUAAGUCUGCUACUUGGGGAGUACGUCCGCAAGGAUGAAACUUAAAGGAAUUGGCGGGGGAGGCACCGCAACGGGAGGAGCGUGCGGUUUAAUUGGAUUCAACACCGUAAACUACACCAGGGAAGACUGUUACAUGAAGGCCGAGAUGAAGACUCUGCUAGAUUUUUCAGAGAGGUGGUGCAUGGCGUCAGUGACU
rnacentral:rRNA from 1 species